UGUCAUUCACUCUCUCUCUUCCCUCACGACUCUCUCUCACUCUCAGUUCUCUCUCUCUUCCUCUCCGACGCUCAACCUCACCCAAAACCACCUAAAACAUAAACAAACGGCCAAGAUAAGACCACAUUUGGACUCCUGGAACUUCCACAAUCACGUAGACAUCAAUUUCAGCUUAAAACAAGAUCACAGUGAGCUUAAGGAAGUCCCAAGGAAGCUCGGAGUGCUUCGUUGGAAGUUUUUGGACGUAAGAACACGGAGAUCGACAAGUUCAAAGUUUGGCCGGAGCUUUCGAGGCUCUUUCCGGCGAAUCCCCGGCGAGUUAGGAGUCGAGUUUCCGGCGACCUCCGAGGCUUUCGAGGCAGUUUCCGGCCAAACCACGGCGAACUAGGUGUUGUGCAAGGCGGCGAUCGUCGUGACGCCUUGAUGUGUGGUGCUAGGGAGUUGUUGGACGAACUCCAGGUUAAAGAAUAGCUUAGGUGUGGUGGCUACGAGGAAUUCGACGGUGUUCUGACAGAUUGGACAAAAUUAGGACUCCCUUCGGGUGUAUCAACUUAUAAAUUGUAUCUUAAAGCUUCCGUACUGUGCAAAUGGUUACGUCACUCUCACGUGACGGCCAGCAUGCCCUC
rnacentral:sRNA from 1 species